rnacentral:rRNA from 2 species
UACAGAGGGUGCAAGCGUUGCUCGGAAUCAUUGGGCGUAAAGGGUAGGUAGGUGGUCUCAUUUGUCUGGGGUGAAAGCCCAGGGCUUAACCCUGGAAGUGCCCCGGAAACGGUGAGACUGGAGUCUUGGAGAGGGUCGUGGAAUUCCCGGUGUAGCGGUGAAAUGCGUAGAGAUCGGGAGGAACACCAGAGGCGAAGGCGGCGACCUGGACAAGCACUGACACUCAACUACGAAAGCGUGGGGAGCAAACAGG